UUGUUGCAGCCUAUGGUGAUGAAAGAUAUCUGCAUCAAGUUGCUGUUCCUUGUGCAUCCAAGUUUACCUUUAUAUAUUGAGAAGGAACAAAAAAAAUAGUAACACGGGGAGGUUUAUGUCAAACAAAUAAUAAACAUGUCCAGGAUGGGGGAAUGAGAAGGAAGUUGGGGUGGGGUAUUUGGUUAUGAUUAACUAAAAGAAGUGAGGUAUAUUUUUAAUGAAUAUGCAGUACUUGGUGAUAAGAUCUGUUGGUAACCUAUACCUUCCUGUCAUCCUAUACCUUCCACACUUACACAGCCAUUCCUCAAACCCCAUAAGCACCAGCAUCAAAUCCCACAUCCACUCACAUCCAUUCCUAAAACCCCACAAUCUCCAACAUCAAAUUCACACAAUUGUUGUAUAUCUAUAAUCAAAUUUAAAUUGAAAUAAAUAAAACGCCAUUGCAU